rnacentral:tRNA from 1 species
AGCCGCGCUGGAGCGGGAGUUCGCGGUGCUGCGGUCGGCGCCCGGGGUGCGGGGGAUCGAGGUCUUCCGCUGCACCC